GGCCAUGUGGAGCUCUUCUCUGUGCAUGAUCCAGCCUGCAGAUACCUCAGUGUUGAAGGACUGCACUCCCAGCAGCUGGAGAUGGCCCAGAGGACACCCAUGCUUCACCUGG